UACGGAGGGGGCAAGCGUUGUUCGGAAUUAUUGGGCGUAAAGGGCGCGUAGGCGGCUUUGCAAGUCGGAGGUGAAAUCCCUCGGCUCAACCGAGGAACUGCCUCCGAAACUGCAGAGCUUGAGUCCCGGAGAGGAUAGCGGAAUUCCCAGUGUAGCGGUGAAAUGCGUAGAUAUUGGGAGGAACACCAGUGGCGAAGGCGGCUAUCUGGACGGGUACUGACGCUGAGGCGCGAAAGCGUGGGGAGCAAACAGGAUUAGAUACCCCCGUA
rnacentral:rRNA from 1 species